ACAGGAAACUGAAUUUGUCAACGGGUAACUCGGCAGUCGGCUACGAAACUUACAUACAAAUUUCGACUAAUAAUUUUAAAAUUGCACUUAUUUCAAUAUUAAUAGGGUUUUAUGACACAAAUUGACGAUUUAAAAGUGUGAAAAUUAAGUGUUAAAGCGUUUUAGCUUACUUGGGGGACCAUAGUUCGCGCUAGCGUCGUCAUGAUCGACCCUUAAUCGGAAGGUUAGCGCCCCCGACAGGAGCGUCUACUGCAAUACGAUGUGUUAGAACUUAGAAUAGUUAAUAUGUUUACUAAGACGUUAUUUAUUUGUUACCGUAACGUAUAUAUUACAGUUCAAGUAUUUGUUUGGUUGAAAGAAGUUUGAAAUAUCUUUAUCCAUUUAUCUAAGUUAAUAUUACUCUAGUAAAAAUGACAAAUAUUAUAAGUUAGUGCACAAGCAUAUAUAAACAUCUAACACACGUGCGUGAAAGCUUCAAUAUAUCAUAGUACCUACUCAUAUAUUAUCUAAUUUCCAAAUAGCACAUACAAACAGGUCAAACUGACAAGAUAACCUUCUUUUGGCGUCGGUUUAUAAAAUAAUAGGCAAGUAGGUACCACGAGUAUGCAAGGCGACGAAAUUAACAUAACAGUUACAAUCACAGCUUGUAAUAAAUGAUUUAAUUUACAGUAAUCGGUAUACUUAACAUGUGUAAAGAAAUGCCCAUUUGAAAUAAUAGUUUGUGAUUGAAUAAAACUUACCUUCAUAUCUUAGAGGCUCUUCAGUUGUUUGGUUUACUUUGUCUUCGUGAAUAAUAUCUUUGCUAUACAGAUACAAAUUCCCGUCGUGUUCAUGAUACACCUUUUUUAUAGUAAAACAAUGUUUUUCAUUAUGUUGGUUGAGUUCUAUUACAGAAGGGUCGAAGAGUAAAAGGCUAUGAGGUCUAUCUUUAUUCCUUAAUUUUUUCUUGGCCGUAUAGCAUUCCUUUUUGCAGUGUGUUUCUAUAAAAACGUCGAAGUUCCUCUCCUCUGUGACAAAAAUCUUUUCCACUAUUACUUUAAAUGGCGAAAUAGUUCUAAAUGAGGCCGGACCUUCGUCUAUAAAGUUAUAAUUUUUCACUUUAGUGUUAAUUCGGCCCCAGGAGGUUUUCCCAUUUCGCAGAUAAACCUCACAAUUUGUAUGUUUGACACCUGUAAAAAUACUUAAGUAUACAUGUUGCCUUAUAUCAAAAGCCUGCCAUAUAAAGGCAAGGAAGUGAAACUACGAUACAUAUAUGGGUUUGUAUUGGGGUCGGAUAGACCCUGCGCAGCGACCUACUGGUCUGUCUGUUGUACUCAACAAUCUACACUCUACAAAGUACAAACAUCCCGAUGAAGAAUUGCGCUAUCGUAGUGCUUCAAGGUACGGAGAACAUAUUAUACAAGAUCUUAUAUCUGGGGCUUUCGAGGCGUCUAGUGGUAAGUUUGUUAAGUUAUAUUUAAACACCGAUAACUUUCGUCCCGCACAUUACAUUUACAUCGCAUUGAAAUAAACACUAAAUGAUGCUUCGAGCUUAGAUUAAUGUUGUUUUUUAACGAUGAAGAAUAUUUAAGAGUUUUUGAGAUUAAUUAAUUUCAUCGCUACAUAGUUUUAUUCAAUAAAUUAUAAACUACCGAACAAAGUUUAGUGUAUUGGAAAACUGCGAAAGUAGUCUUAGCGAUAAGCGUAUAAAGACAAAUUUAAACGGUUGUUUAGGUUGUAUUGUUGCCCGUUUUUGUAAUUAUUUAAUGGACCUGCAAUAUGAUUGUCAAAAUACAUAUAUCGAAAAUUAUGGCUAUAGUAUGGAGGUGGGAUAAAGAGGACUAUAAAUGUUAUUCUGCCAAUGUAUGAAAAGCAUAAUGAUAAAACUAAAAUUCUAUUAAGCUAUCCGCAUAUAGGCUCCUUAAAGAACGUUUUUUCAAACCAUUAUCUCUGGUUCAAAUUCUACUAUUGCAAAUUGAUAUAAUAUAUUGACAUAGGGGAAGAUCGUUACCCUUCGUACGCGGGGCACAUUCAUACAGUCAAAAUAAAACUUGAACGAAACAAAGUACAGUCUAGCUUUUGUAUGUGUGCAUGAGUCGAGGUACCAACUAUACAUCAACGAAGUUUCGUGAAAUUCGCACCGAUUAGAGUGAAGUUACAGGCAUGGACGUGUUUUCGCGCUCGUUAGUGGGGUACAUUCGGACAGCACUAGAUGGGGCACAUUUGAACGAAUUGUACAACUAAAUUUGUAUAAAAAUUUGUCGACGCGAACUGUCAUUUUCAUACAAAUUAAGUUUUCGACUUUCUACAUAUCACACUACUGUUAAGGCAUCUUAUACUAAGGUUGAUUUUGAUGCUGUGAAUAAUUUACCAAUCCAUCAAAUAGUAGUUCCUUCGAAGUCAGUUUUGACACCAGAGGCAUUUCGACCCUAUCCGCAUUUUGUAAGAAGUAAUAAAACAAACAAAAUGACGAUGACGGCCAGGAAAACCACGAAUUUAUACUGCCAAACCCGAAAAUAAGAAGUGCUAAUCCACACCAAAGAGUAAAAAAUGUGAUUCUAAAUUUAAGUUACCUAACUAAUUAAAUUUUGUUUUACAUAAGAAAAGUAUUUUAUUUUUGUUUAAUAGAAGUUAAAUCUUUAUUUUUGUGUUUAAUUUCAUUACUAAUAAAUUAAUUUUGAACUACCCCACAGCGUAAGAAGGUACCCCCAACACUGUACGAAGGUGCCCCGUUGAUGGGGCAGAUUCGUACGUAUUCCAGAUUUAGUUUAAAUUAUAAUUGUGGUUGAAACAUCGGAUGAAAUCAUUUGUCAUUUUUUUAUUUGAAUCUCAGAUAGUUAGACUAUAAAUUUAAGCUAUUAGGUGAUUGAUUCAUGGAAAAAGAAAAAAAUUAAAAAAAUAAAAUGUGAAAACCGUACGAAGGGUCCCCACCUUCCCCUAUAUAAUAUGAAAAUUUUAAUGAUUUCCAAGUUUUUAGUCUGUGGAGAACUUAAUUACUAAACUCAAAACGAGAGUGUAAACUCUGUAUAACGUAAGAAUGAUUACUUCAGCCUUUAUAACGCAACAGCCAUUCUCUAUUACGAAGAAAUAUUUUCAUAUUUAGACAUCAACAACAUACUUAAUUGUACCUAAUUGUUUUU